rnacentral:rRNA from 1 species
UGGGGAAUCUUGCGCAAUGGGGGGAACCCUGACGCAGCGACGCCGCGUGCGGGACGGAGGCCUUCGGGUCGUAAACCGCUUUCAGCAGGGAAGAGUCAAGACUGUACCUGCAGAAGAAGCCCCGGCUAACUACGUGCCAGCAGCCGCGGUAAUACGUAGGGGGCGAGCGUUAUCCGGAUUCAUUGGGCGUAAAGCGCGCGUAGGCGGCCCGGCAGGCCGUGGGUGGAAGCGGGGGGGUCAACCCGCAGCAGCCCCCGGACCCUCCGCGGCUUGGGUCCGGUAGGGGAGGGUGGAACACCCGGUGUAGCGGUGGAAUGCGCAGAUAUCGGGUGGAACACCGGUGGCGAAGGCGGCCCUCUGGGCCGAGACCGACGCUGAGGCGCGAAAGCUGGGGGAGCGAACAGG